AACUUAAUGAAUUGACGGGGGAGCACCACAACGGGUGGAGCUUGCGGUUUAAUUGGAUUCAACGCCGGAAAUCUUACCGGGACCGACAGCAAUAUGAAGGCCAGGCUGAAGACUUUGCCGGAUUAGCUGAGAGGUGGUGCAUGGCCGUCGUCAGUUCGUACUGUGAAGCAUCCUGUUAAGUCAGGCAACGAGCGAGACCCACGCCCACAGUUGCCAGCGUACUCUCUGGAGUGACGGGUACACUGUGGGGACCGCCGCUGCUAAAGCGGAGGAAGGAAUGGGCAACGGUAGGUCAGUAUGCCCCGAAUAUCCCGGGCUACACGCGAGCUACAAUGGUUGGUACAAUGGGUAUCUACCCCGAAAGGGGACGGGAAUCUCCUAAAACCAAUCUUAGUUCGGAUUGAGGGCUGCAACUCGCCCUCAUGAAGCUGGAAUCCGUAGUAAUCGCGUUUCAACAGAACGCGGUGAAUACGUCCCUGCUCCUU
rnacentral:rRNA from 1 species